rnacentral:tRNA from 1 species
GGGCGUGUGGUCUAGUGGUAUGAUACCCGCUUUGGGAAGUUUAUUUUCAAAGUAUGCGGGUGGCCCGGGGUUCAAUUCCCCGCUCGCCCC